rnacentral:rRNA from 1 species
GAUGAACGCUGGCGGCGUGCCUAAUACAUGCAAGUCGAGCGAACGGACGAGAAGCUUGCUUUUCUGAUGUUAGCGGCGGACGGGUGAGUAACACGUGGAUGACCUACCUAUAAGACUGGGAUAACUUCGGGAAACCGGAGCUACUACCGGAUAAUAUUUUGAACCGCAUGGUUCAAAAGUGAAAGACGGUCUUGCUGUCACUUAUAGAUGGUUCCGCGCUGCAUUAGCUAGUUGGUAAGGUAACGGCUUACCAAGGCAACGAUGCAUAGCCGACCUGAGAGGGUGAUCGGCCACACUGGAACUGAGACACGGUCCAGACUCCUACGGGAGGCAGCAGUGGGGAAUCUUCCGCAAUGGGCGAAAGCCUGACGGAGCAACGCCGCGUGAGUGAUGAAGGUCUUCGGAUCGUAAAACUCUGUUAUUAGGGAAGAACAUAUGUGUAAGUAACUGUGCACAUCUUGACGGUACCUAAUCAGAAAGCCACGGCUAACUACGUG